rnacentral:rRNA from 1 species
CCUACGGGAGACAGCAGUAGGGAAUAUUGCUCAAUGGGGGAAACCCUGAAGCAGCAACGCCGCGUGGAGGAUGAAGGUUUUCGGAUUGUAAACUCCUUUUGUUAGAGAAGAUAAUGACGGUAUCUAACGAAUAAGCACCGGCUAACUCCGUGCCAGCAGCCGCGGUAAUACGGAGGGUGCAAGCGUUACUCGGAAUCACUGGGCGGAAAGAGCGCGUAGGCGGGAUAGCAAGUCAGAUGUGAAAUCCUAUGGCUUAACCAUAGAACUGCAUUUGAAACUGUUAUUCUAGAGUAUGGGAGAGGUAGGUGGAAUUCUUGGUGUAGGGGUAAAAUCCGUAGAGAUCAAGAGGAAUACUCAUUGCGAAGGCGACCUGCUAGAACAUAACUGACGCUGAUGCGCGAAAGCGUGGGGAGCAAACAGGAUUAGAUACCCCAGUAGUC